rnacentral:rRNA from 1 species
UAGGGAAUCUUCGGCAAUGGGGGGAACCCUGACCGAGCAACGCCGCGUGAGUGAAGAAGGUUUUCGGAUCGUAAAGCUCUGUUGUUAAGGAAGAACGAGUGUGAGAAUGGAAAGUUCAUGCUGUGACGGUACUUAACCAGAAAGGGACGGCUAACUACGUGCCAGCAGCCGCGGUAAUACGUAGGUGGCAAGCGUUGUCCGGAUUUAUUGGGCGUAAAGCGAGCGCAGGCGGUCAAUUAAGUCUGAUGUGAAAGCCCCCGGCUCAACCGGGGAGAGUCAUUGGAAACUGGUUGACUGGAGUGCAGAAGAGGAGAGUGGAAUUCCAUGUGUAGCGGUGAAAUGCGUAGAUAUAUGGAGGAACACCAGUGGCGAAGGCGACUCUCUGGUCUGUAACUGACGCUGAGGCACGAAAGCGUGGGUAGCAAACAGG